AUUGAACGCUGGCGGCAUGCUUUACACAUGCAAGUCGAACGGUAACAGGUCUUCGGAUGCUGACGAGUGGCGAACGGGUGAGUAAUACAUCGGAACGUGCCCGAGAGUGGGGGAUAACGAAGCGAAAGCUUUGCUAAUACCGCAUACGAUCUCAGGAUGAAAGCAGGGGACCGCAAGGCCUUGCGCUCACGGAGCGGCCGAUGGCAGAUUAGGUAGUUGGGGGGAUAAAAGCUCACCAAGCCGACGAUCUGUAGCUGGUCUGAGAGGACGACCAGCCACACGGGGCCUGGGACACGGCCCAGACUCCUACGGGAGGCAGCAGUGGGGAAUUUUGGACAAUGGGCGCAAGCCUGAUCCAGCCAUGCCGCGUGCAGGAUGAAGGCCUUCGGGUUGUAAACUGCUUUUGUACGGAACGAAAAGACUCUGGUUAAUACCUGGGGUCCAUGACGGUACCGUAAGAAUAAGCACCGGCUAACUACGUGCCAGCCGCCGCUGUAACAC
rnacentral:rRNA from 1 species